UACUUGUAACAGACAGUAAAUCAGCGACUUUUCCGUAGUGUCUACUGCAGGAUGGAUAUAAAGUUGUAAAAUACGUUUUGGUUUGACAACAUCGUUCAUAUGUGAACUACCACAAUUAAAGCACAAAGACAUAACAUUACACCCCGAGACCAUUCACAAGUGCUACAAAAGAGAAGAAACGCUUUCCAGAAGAAGUUCAUCAGGCAAGCAGGAGCAUUGACUUUGUCGACUCAUCCAGUUUAGCGGAGAGCAUCAACCCCUAAUUGACAUGAGGAAAAAAUCAUUGAAAAGUGUUCAGUGUACAGUGUACCCCUCUUUGCAACGGAGGAAGCAUUGGGAAAGAGGAGACGAGAGAAAGUGAAAAGGCACUCAACAGAUGUUGGAAAAUGCACUGGUAACAACUAAAAAAAGACGACCAAAAAUAUAAUUCAACAGAGGAUGAUGGCUGGUGAAUCAAGCACUCAAAUAAUGGAACUAAGACCAGUGGGAGUGCUGGAGAAAUCAAGUGUAUAAGUCCUCUGUCUCCUCAGCCAUGGAAGAGAUCUUCAGACAUGAAGAGAUUGAGGAGUUAAAUGAAAUCAAAGAGCUAAAAGAAGAUCUACAAUACUAGUGCCAUUUCAGUAUGAAAACAGAGAGAGAGAGCUGAGGCAGUGGAAAGAAAUGCAUGUUAUUGUGCAAGGGGUAGUGCCAUGGACUAUCAGUGGAGGAACAGAAAGCUCUGAGAUUUCAUUAUAAAGAUCUUCAUUUCUGUUCUGAAGAUGAACGAAAGACUUGCGGGUUUGGAACGUCAUGAGGACUACAUCCAAACUAGUGUUUCCACAUCUGAGAUAAAGGCAGUCAUAAGAACCAAGCAGAACAAUGAGGAUAAGCUCUUCAGAAAAUGAAACCUGUCAGAAUAAUGAGGGAAGAAAUGUACAUGAUUGCG